ensembl:snRNA U1 U1 spliceosomal RNA
AUACUUACCUGGCAGGAGAGACACCAUGAUCACGACGGUGCUUUUCUCGGGGUGAGGUUUAUCCAUCGCAUUCUGGAUGUGCUGACCCCUGCAAUUUCCUUAAAUAUGGAAAACUCGACUGCAGAAUUUGUGGUAGCGGGGAACUGUGUGCGCGCUCUCUCCUG